rnacentral:rRNA from 1 species
CUGCUGCCUUCCGUAGGAGUCUGGUCCGUGUCUCAGUACCAGUGUGGGGGACCUUCCUCUCAGAACCCCUACGCAUCGUCGCCACGGUGGGCCGUUACCCCGCCGUCUAGCUAAUGCGCCGCAUGCCCAUCCUCUUCCGAUGAAUCUUUCCUCGAUCUCGGAUGCCCGAAACCGAUAUACGCGGGAUUAGCCUCCCUUUCGGAAGGUUGUCCCCCUGAAGAGGGCAGGUUGCAUACGUGUUACUCACCGUGCGCCGGUCGCCGG